AGGGGGGUUUGCAUCAUGGGCUCAGAAUCAACGCUGGCGGCGUGCCUAACACAUGCAAGUCGAACGAGAAAGGGCACCUUCGGGAGCCUGAGUAAAGUGGCGAACGGGUGAGUAACACGUGGGUGACCUGCCCUCUGGAGGGGGAUAACCCGGGGAAACCCGGGCUAAGACCGCAUAAGCCUUUGAGGUCAAACUCAAAUGGAAAAGGGUCCAGCUUUCGAGCUUGAUCCUGCCGGAGGAGGGGCCCGCGUCCCAUUAGCUUGUUGGUGGGGUAAAAGCCUACCAAGGCUACGAUGGGUAGCCGGUCUGAGAGGACGGACGGCCACACUGGAACUGAGACACGGUCCAGACUCCUACGGGAGGCAGCAGUGGGGAAUUUUGGGCAAUGGGCGAAAGCCUGACCCAGCAACGCCGCGUUGGAGGAAGAAGGCCUUCGGGUCGUAAACUCCUGUCCUAGGGGAAGAAAAAAAUGACGGUACCCUUGGAGGAAGCCCCGGCUUAACUCCGUGCCAGCAGCCGCGGUUAAGACG
rnacentral:rRNA from 1 species